rnacentral:misc_RNA from 1 species
GUUGGUGAACCAGCGGAGGGAUCAUUAGCGAGUUUUCAACUCCCAACCCUUGCGAACCGUACCCCGUUCUGUUCUCGUUGCUUCUGGCGGGAGGGGGGGCGCGUCCUUCUGGGCGCGCCUCUCUCCCAGGUCCCUUCGGGGCGCCCGCCAGCGGCCGCGAGCCGCCUGAACUUUAUUCAAACCGUAACUAAAACGUCUGAGAAACAAACAAAAACAGCCAAAACUUUCAACAACGGAUCUCUUGGCUCUG